UAUACAAAAGCUGAUGUAAUUCAU
rnacentral:siRNA from 1 species